rnacentral:rRNA from 1 species
UGAACGCUGGCGGUCUGCUUAACACAUGCAAGUCGAACGAUCUAAACGUCAUAUUGUUAUUUUAACUUAUUUCAGAUAACAAUAUGGCGUUUAGAUAGUGGCGGACGGGUGAGUAACGCGUAGGAAUCUGCCAUACAGAGGGGGACAACAGUUGGAAACGACUGCUAAUACCGCAUAAUACCUUUGGGUCAAAGGUUGGGUAGUUAUUACCCAGUCGCUGUAUGAUGAGCCUGCGUUGGAUUAGCUAGUUGGUCAGGUAAAGGCUGACCAAGGCAAUGAUCCAUAGCUGUUCUGAGAGGAAGAUCAGCCACACUGGGACUGAGACACGGCCCAGACUCCUAC